CCUACGGGAGGCAGCAGUGGGGAAUUUUGGACAAUGGGCGCAAGCCUGAUCCAGCAAUGCCGCGUGAGUGAAGAAGGCCUUCGGGUUGUAAAGCUCUUUUGUCAGGGAAGAAACGGUCUACUCUAAUACAGUGGGCUAAUGACGGUACCUGAAGAAUAAGCACCGGCUAACUACGUGCCAGCAGCCGCGGUAAUACGUAGGGUGCAAGCGUUAAUCGGAAUUACUGGGCGUAAAGCGUGCGCAGGCGGUUAUAUAAGUCAGAUGUGAAAUCCCCGGGCUCAACCUGGGAACUGCAUUUGAGACUGUAUGGCUAGAGUGUGUCAGAGGGGGGUAGAAUUCCACGUGUAGCAGUGAAAUGCGUAGAUAUGUGGAGGAAUACCGAUGGCGAAGGCAGCCCCCUGGGAUAACACUGACGCUCAUGCACGAAAGCGUGGGGAGCAAACAGGAUUAGAUACCCUGGUAGUCCACGCCCUAAACGAUGUCUACUAGUUGUCGGGACUUAAUUGUCUUGGUAACGCAGCUAACGCGUGAAGUAGACCGCCUGGGGGAGGUACGGUCGCGAGAAGUUAAAACGUUAAAAGGUAAAGUUAGUACGGCGUGAGACGUGACCGACGGACGACGACGAGGGAGGAGGNGG
rnacentral:rRNA from 1 species